rnacentral:misc_RNA from 1 species
UAAUAAGUGUUUUAUGGCACUUUUUAAAUUUAUAUCCACCUUGUGUGCAAUGUCAGUCGAUCUUCUUCAUGGAGAUCGGCCAAACAUCAACCUUAUCUUUUAACUCUUUGUCUGAAAAAUAUUAUGAAUAAACAAUUCAAAAUC